rnacentral:rRNA from 2 species
GCUGGCGGCGUGCCUAAUACAUGCAAGUCGAACGAACUCUGGUAUUGAUUGGUGCUUGCAUCAUGAUUUACAUUUGAGUGAGUGGCGAACUGGUGAGUAACACGUGGGAAACCUGCCCAGAAGCGGGGGAUAACACCUGGAAACAGAUGCUAAUACCGCAUAACAACUUGGACCGCAUGGUCCGAGCUUGAAAGAUGGCUUCGGCUAUCACUUUUGGAUGGUCCCGCGGCGUAUUAGCUAGAUGGUGGGGUAACGGCUCACCAUGGCAAUGAUACGUAGCCGACCUGAGAGGGUAAUCGGCCACAUUGGGACUGAGACACGGCCCAAACUCCUACGGGAGGCAGCAGUAGGGAAUCUUCCACAAUGGACGAAAGUCUGAUGGAGCAACGCCGCGUGAGUGAAGAAGGGUUUCGGCUCGUAAAACUCUGUUGUUAAAGAAGAACAUAUCUGAGAGUAACUGUUCAGGUAUUGACGGUAUUUAACCAGAAAGCCACGGCUAACUACGUGCCAGCAGCCGCGGUAAUACGUAGGUGGCAAGCGUUGUCCGGAUUUAUUGGGCGUAAAGCGAGCGCAGGCGGUUUUUUAAGUCUGAUGUGAAAGCCUUCGGCUCAACCGAAGAAGUGCAUCGGAAACUGGGAAACUUGAGUGCAGAAGAGGACAGUGGAACUCCAUGUGUAGCGGUGAAAUGCGUAGAUAUAUGGAAGAACACCAGUGGCGAAGGCGGCUGUCUGGUCUGUAACUGACGCUGAGGCUCGAAAGUAUGGGUAGCAAACAGGAUUAGAUACCCUGGUAGUCCAUACCGUAAACGAUGAAUGCUAAGUGUUGGAGGGUUUCCGCCCUUCAGUGCUGCAGCUAACGCAUUAAGCAUUCCGCCUGGGGAGUACGGCCGCAAGGCUGAAACUCAAAGGAAUUGACGGGGGCCCGCACAAGCGGUGGAGCAUGUGGUUUAAUUCGAAGCUACGCGAAGAACCUUACCAGGUCUUGACAUACUAUGCAAAUCUAAGAGAUUAGACGUUCCCUUCGGGGACAUGGAUACAGGUGGUGCAUGGUUGUCGUCAGCUCGUGUCGUGAGAUGUUGGGUUAAGUCCCGCAACGAGCGCAACCCUUAUUAUCAGUUGCCAGCAUUAAGUUGGGCACUCUGGUGAGACUGCCGGUGACAAACCGGAGGAAGGUGGGGAUGACGUCAAAUCAUCAUGCCCCUUAUGACCUGGGCUACACACGUGCUACAAUGGAUGGUACAACGAGUUGCGAACUCGCGAGAGUAAGCUAAUCUCUUAAAGCCAUUCUCAGUUCGGAUUGUAGGCUGCAACUCGCCUACAUGAAGUCGGAAUCGCUAGUAAUCGCGGAUCAGCAUGCCGCGGUGAAUACGUUCCCGGGCCUUGUACACACCGCCCGUCACACCAUGAGAGUUUGUAACACCCAAAGUCGGUGGGGUAACCUUUUAGGAACCAGCCGCCUAAGGUGGGACAGAUGAUUAGGGUGAAGUCGUAACAAGGUAGCCGUAGGAGAACCUGCGGCUGGAUACCC